rnacentral:rRNA from 1 species
GAUGAACGCUGACAGCAUGCUUAACACAUGCAAGUCAACUGUGGCGGACGGGUGAGUAACGCGUAAAGAACUUUCCUCUCAGAUAGGGACACCAUUUGGAAACGAAUGCUAAUACCUGAUACUGUGGGAGAGCUUUGCGUCCCAUUAGCUAGUUGGAGAGGUACCGGCUCACGCAUGCGAUGAUGGGUAGACGGCCUGAGAGGGUGAUCGGCCACAAGGGGACUGGGACGCGGCCCUUACGCCAACUGGAGGCAGGAGUGCGGAAUAUUGGACAAUGGGCCAAAGUCUGAUCCAGCAAUUCUGUGUGCAAGAUGAAGUUUUCGGAAUGUAAAGUGCUUUCAGUUGGGAAGCGGUACCAACAGAAGAAGUGACGGCUAAAUACGUGCCAGCAGCCGCGGUAAUAC